UAGUGAACCUGAUGAUGUUGUUAUGUCAU
rnacentral:piRNA from 1 species